GCCUUCGCAUCUUUGUCAACAAUCAAUUGUCCAGAUACAUUCCGCAAACUACCACAUUAGAAGUCUGUUGAUCCUGCUGGAGAGGGUACAAGAAGUGAUCACAUGGAGAGGCAAGGAAAGAAGGCGAGACCCUGGAGCUAUAUGGAAAGAGAGAAGGAGGGAGAGAGAUACCUAGCCAUGCCAGAAUCCCACUGAAUGCAAUCAACCCACAGAAUCAUAAGAGAAAACAAACUGGUUAUUGUUUUAAGCCACUCAACUUUGGAGAGGAAACCCACUUUCUUUUUCUACCCUCACUGUCCUCUCACAGGACUUAGAUGAAGGCAACAUCAUAUCUUUCAGUCCCUGUGACCUGCUGGAUGACACUUAAAGGACUUCAGAAUCUUCAGUGCAA